UCAAUUCCCAGUCCCUGUGCCUAUGACCUCAGAUGGGUUCUCAUGGUGUCUUUUGUUGUUACGCGAUUUGUUUUUUGGCAAAAAUUCCUUAUCUGCACUCCCCAUUUUCUACUUACCUAGAUAUCUUUGAGUACAGACCAAGAUGAGAACUGAUGUGAUUGAAAAGGAAGCUGGGAAGGCAGAAGUAGGUUGUUCUUCCUACAUUGAGAAACAUGGAUAGACUCAUCCUAUACACAACUGACAGAGGAUAGAGGCUGGGGAAACAGCUGAUUGUGAGUUUAUCUGGAAUUAGCAGAAUUGUCUUUAGAGGCAGAGGGCCCAGAACAUGUUCUGGCAAAGGAAAAGGGAGAGAAAAAGACUUAAAUUCCUAGAGUGUGUGGAUACAUUUGAUUAGAAGAUGAACAUGAGAAGUCUGAGAAACAGACAUGGCACUACUUCAUGGAAAAAUAAGAGGCAAAGCUUGAUGCAGGAAAAACUUCGAAAUAUUUGGUAGAGCCACAUGUGACUGAUCAAAAUAUUCACCCUAAGCACACAAAACGAGACUGUUAAGAUUUGCCAGAUAUGGGACUCACCUGCAGCAGAAUGUGGCUUUAACAGAACUUGGGAGACCCUUCCAGAGGAGGGUGAUUUGUUCACAAAGCACGAUCACUUUGGAGACCUUGAUCCGAUUUGUACAAUAAAUGAACACAGCCAAGAUUGAGUGUUUUAUAAGCAGUUCCUCCGUGAAAGUUUGCAGCACAACUUCAAGUGGAGUUCAAGUUAACACAUCUGCUUAACAGUUAAGGCUUAACAGGUUUUACUGCAUACUUAAAUUUUAAUUGAACUUAUACUUGACACCAAACUCAACUGAAAGAUCUUGGGGAUAUACUGAAUAUCGUUUGUGUUGCUUCCCCGUGGAUGCUUGCCAUCAGAAGAAUGGGAUUGCCCUUGCUGUUGCUGCAGGCUCGUGAUCUGGACCCAACCCUAGGACUCGAGCAGGACUGAGGGACACAUGCAAGUGGUAAGAAGCUGGAUCAUCUUUCUUCAUCUGCUCGCUGCCUUCACAGAAUUUGCAAGUGUGACAAACUAUUUCAUCCCUUUACAGGAUUAGGGAUGCGGAUUUACCUCUCCCUGAGGUGCUGCUGCUGGCUGGUUCACUGCCUGCUGGAGGGUGUCUCUAAGAUCUGACUUAACCUGAAGCAUGCACUUCCUCAGGAGGUCUGCAGCAGGGCUGGAGGACUGCAAGCACUGCAUCCCUUCCCUCCUGUCACCUGCUGCCUCACAACUGCAGUGCCUGUGCUGUGCUCUCAGCUCCCUCUCCCUGAAAUGUUCCUCGUGGUGGUUUGUACAGAGCUGCCUUGGAGCAGGCUUUGCUUUUGGUGGCAGGAUCCCUUGUUGCUAUGCCAUUCAUGAAGAAGAUGGCUUUAUCCUUGCUUUUAUUCCACUGGGACCAGCUCCUCUACACACAGGCACCAAAAAUGGCAAAUCUUCAUAACCUUUUUUGAUUUUCAAUUGAAGCUCUACAUCACAUGAACUUGGGGUUUUUUGAGAGUUUGAUGGUUGUACAGACAAGGGAAAAUCCUUUGGGACCAGAGAAGUCUUUAGAGAAUGAAGAAAGCAGAAUGUGUUCCAAGACCAAUACACUGCUUCAAUUCCAGUGACUUGGACGUGAGUAACCAUUGGGAGUCAUCCUGUUUCCAUUCUGAAAAGCUGCAGUUGCACGAUGUCAGCUGAAAAGCUGCAGAAGCUCAGAGUGGUGUGUGCAGCUGCUCAGCCCUCUGGGCACAGCCUGCCCCUCUGUCUGCAUCGGGCACACAUAAACUGGGCCAUGGUUUUAGGUCCCUGCCUGAGGACUGCUGACCCUGUCCUACCUGCAAUGUUCCUGAUGCUGGGAAAACGUCAGUCCCCCUUAACUUUCUCAUCAGCACAUCAGCUCCUGUCUUUGUGCCCAUGGAUCCCAAGUUCCUUGUGAAGGAGAGCACUCAGCCUAUGCAAGGUGGUCCUGCACUUCUGAAUUCAUGGCACAGUGAAUGAUGUUUUGGAAGGCAAAGCCUCAGGUGCUGUUGGAAACAUCUACCCAUGAGCUGUUCAUUCUAUUGGAGUGUCUGCAUGAAAGAGGCAGGAGAAAAGGGUUGCCCACAAAUAUUAUCAAUACAAAUCAGCAUGUUAUUAAUGCAGCCAAAGGUAUGGUCUGUACACCCACCCUUUAAUGCAUGUGAAUGUGCUUAAUUCUGUGAGAACUUGCAAAGCCAGGAGCUAUAUGAACUUGGCUGUCACACAUUUCUUAAAGCAUUAUUUCUCCUUUUGCCUCUUAGAGAUACGUCUAAUGCCAAAUGGCCCAAGAACUUCAAAGACAUACCACAAAUUAAAUCUGUCCUUCAUGCUUUUGCUUCCUUCAGUAUCUAGCUGUGGCAAGGCCAGCUUCUCACUGGCUCUAGGGGCUCUCUCUUCAGACUUUUAAAUGUAAGUGAAUUAUAACAGUUCAUGUUACCUGGUCCAGCUGCACUAGAAAUGGGCACCUUGACUCAUUAGAAAAACAGGCAUCUCUCUUCCACUGGGUCCAAACUCCUCAUUAGCUUUGAAAUAUUUCACUCUGUUCCCACUCCUCAAGUUACAGCUUCUUUGGCCAAGUUCACUAGUUCUUAUUUCCAGAAACUGCUAUAUCUCAGAGGGCUUCUGAACUGGUUACAAGGUGAUUAAUACAGGUAAGGCACCUGUUCUAAUUUUAAUGUAAUUGGCAUAAAUUACUUUCUGAAGUUGCUUUUUCUUCAAGAGAUGGAAGUGCAGAGCAUUGAUGUGCCGUCUUGGAGCAUUAUAGGAUGAGGCUCCUGAAUUUUCUCUCUGCUUGCUUAAUUUUGUGUAAGCUUUGCCUCUUUCUUUUGAAGAGUUUCUGUAACUACCAACUUAACUACUGUAGUUAUGUUGGGAACACAAAAUUAAUGAAAAACAGAAAUGUAAUUUAACUAGAAACCCCUAAAUGCAUUAUUGUCAUGUUUUAAUCCAGCUGACUGGGUUAAGAGGGCAAGUGUGGAAGCAACAUUUCCCACUCCUGGCUGUCCCAGUGUGCUGUUCCUUCCCUUGCUGGCCAGCAGCAGGCAAUAGUGUCCUGUCAUGUUCAUGUCCAGGUGUUAGUGGGUCUCUAACCUGGACUGCUAAUGGAUGGAAUUAGCUCUGAAUGUGUGCAAAAAACUCAACAAAUGGAAAAGAAAAAGGAAGGUGUUACUAUAAGACCAUAUAUGUUGUUGAGGUAUGUAUAUGUCUCUUCCUUCAUUGAGCUGUGGUUAAUCAGAAGAUUCAUGUUGGGUUGUUUCUGAAGAAGAGACUCCCCCAUUUCAUGUCCAGCAUAGGCUGUUGUUUCAGCCUGAGCAUGUAUGCUUUGCUUCUGGUGUAUUGGAAAAAUGUGGUAAUGUCUAAAACAAGAAUUAUGUGGGAAAGACGUGAAGAUGCAUAAAAUGAUGAAAAUCCAUGGGUAGAAGGAUCUCGUUAAGUGGACUUAGGGGAUUCUCAUAAAUAUCAUUUUAGUGUGAUGUAGUUCACAUGAUAACAAGAUAUUUUGUUCCACCAGCAAAAUGGAGCAUUAGCUUAGAGGACUGGAUUACUCAUGGCACAAACAUGGCUGUUAUGUGCAAACUUUCGGUGUUCUGCCAAGGUCAGUUCGUGGGGGUUGAGAUGAAACUGUUUCCUAAACUGUGAAAGUGAUCCCGGGUACCCAGGCUGCUGGAAUGCCUGGAGGUUUUAUGGAUUCCUUCCCCUUUAGCCCACUAGCAGGGUAUCUGCUAAUGCAGGCUCCCCUUUCCUGCCUGCAUUGCUCUAGUGAGGCUGGCCUUAGGAGAAGCAUUGCUUUGACUCACUUUGUUUUCUGACUUCUUGUUUGCCUGCAGAAGGAACAUUUACAGCAGGCUUUUCUGUAGAUAACCAAGGCAAAAUGUUGUCCUCAGGCACUGGAAAAGAUGAAUGUAUCACUCAUGUCUGAAUAUGACACCAGACCCAGGAUAGGACUGGGAAGGUGUCAAGUUAUAGUCAGAUCUACUCUCACAGCACCUCAGCUGAGAACAUUUGUUUGGGAAGGGCUGGUGGAAGGUUUCAUGUCAUGCAGGUGAAGGAAACAAAAGGUAGGAAAACAGAUUUUGGCCUAGGGCUGAGGAUCUGCAGUGGGCUUGUUCCUCCUGCCCACUUAGAAGGGAUGUGCACUUGCAGGUAGGUCCUGUGACCAGGCAGGUCUUGGCCAUGCCAGAGCUUGCUGGAAAGACCAUUCCUGAGGGUGCCUAGCAGAGCUCCAGCUGUGUUGCCCGUGUGUCAGGCUGGCUUUGUGCCCUCCCCUUGCAGCUCACUGGCUGUUGCUGGUCUGGCUGUGCUUGCCCAGUGCUCCAGAGCCUCUGAUGGCUCAUAGCAGAGCACCUCUGCUGAAGCUUGAUGUUAGGAGCAUGCACUGGAAUGGAGGUGUCAGAGUGGUCUCUAACUGCUUGAAGUGGUGCAGCUGAAAACCGUGUGUGUUUAGGAACAUGCUUUGUUAUGGAAGGGAGUGGAAGACUAAUGGAGUGACGCUGAUAAGCAGCAAAUGAAGUUGGAAAUACGUGUUCAGGGUGAAGUCAGGGGAUCAAACACAGAUUAUAUUCCUUUGGCUAACUGCCUUCAGAUUUUAUAAUUCAUUGAUUUUUUUGCCUGUGCUAUACAGGAUGCUAAUUCAGGAGUUAAAAAUCUAAGGGACAUUAGGGGGGAUUACCAGGCUUCCGCAAUGUCAAUGUCAAACUUGGAUUCUGGGAAGCUUUGUCUUAGGGCAGGACUUGAGGAUGAAGGUUCUGUGUGAGUGCAGAAGUAGGAUUAAAUUUCAAUCAAACCCAGAAAGAAACAGUAGAGGGCUGAAAGAUAUCUUCCCUCAGCUGAAGUAGUUACUCUCUUCAUACCUGUAAAGAGGACCUUGCCCAAAUUCCCUUAAUUUGCUGCAAAGUACAUCUGAGGCCUCAAGUAGAUCUCAGCUCCAGUGUAUUUACUGUCCCAACAGAAACAAUGCACUGCAACCUCACCCUAAUUUUACUGGAAUCAGCUGCCACUACUCUGGAGCAGAAGCAAGAAAAAACAAAAUUAAUAUCUGGAUAAACAGCCUAUUAAUUUGAUGACAACUGUUGUUCUCCAUUUCAGGGUCCAGAGAGCAGCCUGGGCAGUGAGCUAAUGAGAACACCAGAGCCGUGCAGCCUAGGGGGAGGUGGGGGGUAGAGAAGAAAACAGAACAAACACUCCUUUUGUAGCUCGGAGCUAAGGGGAUUCAGCCAAAGGUUAAUUGCUUUCUACCCUAAAAUGCUGUGAAGUGUUGCUGCGUGGUGUCAUACAGCUGCUUCAUCCCAGCCUGAGGGUGUCUGUUUCAGUGGUGGGUGGCAUGAGCCAAGAUCCUUUUUUUAACCGCACGGGGGUGUUGCAAGGUCUCCAAAAGGCAUCCAAAAAUCUGGUGGAGCUUGGUUGGUAUCAUUUAGGGUUUCACCACAUCAUGGGAGCAGUUAGCAAAAACACCAAAUGAGCACCAAAAGAACAGAUUGCUCUUCACUAGGAAUUUUUUUUAGGGGAUGCAAGCUCAUUGUUUCCUCUGAUUCUUCAUUAGACAAUCAAAUGAAAGAUGCUACAGGAAUCAAGAGAUAAGGACAGAAAUGAGUGUAAUAGUAAACUUCACCUUACUGUCACCUUUGCCUCUUAGCCAGUGUAUCUUUAAAAUAUUUUAAAAUUAAACUGUGAACUUUAAUUUUAAUGAUCAAAUUUGUUAUUCCUAAGAAUAAUAAAAAAAAAUCCGUUUUUUUUUUUCCAUUAACAAUUCUGCUCAUGCAACUUCUGCGCUGUGUAGAACUUAAAGCAAUAAAAUAACUUUCUAUUAGCAUAGGUCUGUUGUGAUAGCUUGGAAGUCUCCUUCUGGUUGGUGGGACAUCAAAAAUUUCAAAAAACCAGAAAGUUGUACACGGGGAAAAUAAUCCUGUGAUGUUGUGCAGUCUUGUGACAGUGCCCAGGUUCCCUUGUCUGGAGAUCAUAAUAGUGGAAGAGAAUUAGAGUAGAGUAUUUAAGUUGGAAGGAACCUACAGUGAUCAUCUAGUCCAAUUCCAAUUGAUACUUGUGAGAUUAAAUGGAACUAAAUAGAAAUGUGAUGUCUGAUCUUCCUGUAGGGUAGGUAAAUUUCUGAUUUUAGUGUUUGUAUGUGAACUCUCAAUAUUGCAAAUAAUUCUGCUGAUAUCACUACUCCAACCUGUUUGUCUCAGUUUCUCUUGUCUGGUCAUUCUGCCCAUUUCCUUGUGAACAUUUUUAUCUUUUACUUUACUUGUGCUUUCAACACUUAUUUUAUUUCAUGACUCCACAACUGAAGUUUACCAUAUACAAGGUUUAAAUUCAUGACCAGCAAGCCUGAGCAAGUGUAUGCUCAUUGAAUGUCAGAGCUUGAGUAUUUUCGAUGCUCAGUUCAGGUAAGGAGGAGCAGUUUCCUCUGUGAUUCUUAUGCCAAAUGACAGGAUGGUCUGAGAAAACCCUGAACAUUUCAUUAGUGUCUCUUCCUAUCUCAGUCAUGUGUGCAUGGCUCACCCUGCACUGCUGGGAGCCCAGUCUGGCUCCACCCAUCCCCCAAAAGGCAAAGUGUGGGGUCACAGCGCUGUUCCAAAUGACCAAGCUUUCCCCAGAGUUAAUUCCCCUCAAAAAGGAGACAAUGCAGGCAAUAAGGGCACUAGAGAUGGGAGUGCUUUGGGCUCUUGUUUGCCCUCCAUCCAGGUCUCUCCCUGUCCCUUUCUGAUAAUGAAAGAACAUGUUCCAGUUCUUCUGCUUCCAGGGAAUAGUGUUAAGUCUCAUGGUGGCCAGGCAGAUAAUGGUCCAGUUGGGAGCACAGACAACAACCCUUAGAGCAGUUUUACCAUAUGGGAAAUGUUUAAAGCAUUUUUUCAACAAGGUUUUGGGGUGUUCUGCUUUUGAAGUCCCUUAUUCCAAAUAGGGUGAUGUGUGUACCUCUGCUUUUGUUGGAGCUGAGUAUCACAAACAGGAUGAAGCUCUUUUUCUGCAUGUCAGUACAAUAGAAACACAUGAGUUUUUCUAGAAGCUUGUCUGACUCAGCAGUAUUGCCUAAACUUUCAGAGACAACUGCAACCUACACUACACAUGGUAGAGUUGCAUGGUAUCACUCCUGUUUUCUGUUCCUUACUUGUCUUCUGGCCUAAUUGAAGGUGCUGACUUGUCAGUUUGGAACAUGAAUGGUCACUGAGCCCAGUGGGACUGGGGACAGGGCUUGUAAUACUGAUGGCAUGACUCUAUUAGCAACAAUGUGUGUGAGUAAUUUGGUAGAAUAGUUAUGAGCCAUCUGCAGUUGCUCAGCAGCCUGAAAGCACACUUUGAAGUCAGCUUUACUGGAGCUGACCCUGGUAAGUUCUUGCUUUUCAUUCCUAGGACUGCUGCACAAAGUUAACAUCAAGUGCUGUCUUGGAAUCCUGGAUCUUUCCUUGGAAUACUGAAUCUUUCCAGUGAAGCAGAUAGGAAUUCUGAAAGGUUAUGCAGUGUCUGAGAGAUCUUCAACACAGCUUUAAACUUUUGUGACUAUUUCAUGGGAAACAAAUCUUUCCUUGUUUUCUUUUUUUCCCCCCCACUUCAUAAUAGCAUUAAACUCAUUUUCUGCAAACCUGCUUUCAACGGUCUAGCUAAUUUAUACUGGAAGUAAUUGGACACACCUAAUGAAAAGCAGAGUGGAAUUUUGCUGUUGAACUGCAAUGUUCUCUUCAAGUCACUGGUCUCUUCCAUUUGAUAAUUGUCAUAACAGCAAUUAAGUAACCUGACUUCUCCUCUUUCCUGCCAGUGAUGAAAGCUUAAAAUGAGUCUUCAAAACUGUCACUCUUCUCUAAAGUUUCCUUAAAGAAAUGGCAUUUACUCCUCUCUUAAUAUCUUGCUAUCUAACAUUAGCUUGCUGUUCAGCCUUCAGAGAGCUCUUACUGCAAUAGUCAACCAGGUAAGGGCUUUAGAUACUCUUGGGCUACUUCUUAUCUUGAGGAGUCCAAGGGGAUCAUGGUGAUGCUGUUUGUGACCUCAAUCUCUUGUUGUGUAGAGACCACGUUCAUUUACUCUCAAAUCCAUUAUAAAUUCAUGUUACAUGCUUACUCACUCAUUCCAUAGUGGGAUUCUGCUCCAUACCCAGAGCUGUGGUGUUUCUGGUCAAGAGCAGCAUUUGUGCUGCUGUUGUGGUUGCAGUUUUUCCUGGUGUGCCCUUGGCAUGACAGGUGCUGUAUGGACAGGGGGUUGAGUUGUUCCCUUAGCUCUUGUGUGGGAUUAACCAGGCACUGCCUUUCUUGUGCUUUGUGGGGUUCUCAAUCUCGUAGCCUUCUUCAGCCUUCAGAGAGGCUGUGGGGGUAUGUACAGAAGAGCUGUAUGUCAGUGAGCUGUAAAUUGCUGCCAUCUACCAGCUCAUGUAGGGGGCUCCCACCUGGUCUGGUGUGUGCUGGGAUCUAUGCUCUAGCUCCAAAUCCUGGCUCCUGGGAUUUGCCUUUGACCGGACCUGUUCUCAAACACUUGAAGGAGGUGGAUGCCUGGUCUCAUCUCUUCAUAAACAAACCAACCUCAUCUGUAGGUGCAUGCAAAAAAACCCUCAAAAGACCCAAACCCAAACAAAACCAACAACCAAAUAACCCAACCCCAAGCCCACAAAAAGCCCCCCAAGCAAUCAAACAAAAACCAAAAAAGCGAUAUGGAUUUAAGGUUUUUUAGCAGUCACUCUCUAGCCUAAAUUCUGUGAGACUUCUUUAUGUUACAGAUUCCUGUCCCAGAGGGGUUUUUAGCAGUCAAGAGGGUUGGAAGGUAUUUGAACUGCUACAGUAUAUCGUGUUCUCAGCAAGAGCUUCUGCUGUCUGUUCAGUCCAGAGAGGUUCUUAGCCCAUCUCUGUGAGCAUAACUGUAAUGCUACGAAUUAUUCCUUGUGGAAACUUUAACUAUUGUGCUUAGUGGGUUUACAGGAGCUUUUUCAGUCUGCUUUUAGUGUAUUUGUGUUGGUGGGGAUUCUGAGUGGAAUUACAUGCCCAAGCUUUCAGAUAACUGCUGUAAAUACACAGAUCCACUCUAGUUCCUUACUUCACUGUAGCAGCUGCUGCGGUGUUGCAGAAACUUCAUAGCUUUGACUGCAUCUUAUUAGUUCAGCACACUAUUAAUAUCCCAGAAGCUUUUUGUAUUAGUUUCCACACUUAAUAUUGGUUCUCCUUCCAUCUUCCCUGCCCCCCUUCACACUCAGUCAUUAAACUAAAUUCAUCUUGGGGCUUUUUCAUUUAAGAUGCCCUUGCUGCCCACACCAAAGAGGGGAACCAGACUGGAAGAAAACCAAUUGUGCUAACAGUCACCUGGUAUAUUUAGUGGCAAUGUCAUCUAACAUGCAUUUAUGCUCAGAAGUAGUGCCUUUCUGCUUCUAUAUGGGGCAUUUGUAGUGUUGGCAAAAUCUUUCCAGAGAAACAGCUGCUGAUUGGCUCUUCUUGUCUAUUUGGGGAAGGAUCUGUCCUUAAAUACUUAGUUAUUCUGCUUUCUAAAAAUGGCAUCAAGCACUUGGCACUAUCAGGAUUGGACUCGAAACUUUUACUGAGGUGAAUUGGGUGCAUUGCCCCAAGACCUGGUGAAUCCUUGUCUCCCCUAGAGGAAUGACUGCACAAGUACCAGCAAGUGGGUGCAGGUACAUCUAGGGCAAGUCAGUGCCUGGGGCUCUAAAAUGCCGAUUGCAGUCUUCCUCUGGAAGGCUUUAAAACCAAAUGUCACAUUAUUACGGUUAAAUGGCUCUGGUGAAAAGGGCACAGGACUGAGAUGCAUCUCAGCUAAUAUUUCUUCUGAAUGUAAAGAAAUCCUGUCCCAAAUGGCAGCAAUGCCUCUCCUUUGAGGUGUUGUGUCUCAGUAAGGUGGAGAACUCAGGCUGUUGUCUGAGUAGGGACUGGGAGCCAACUUGCCUUUGCCAGUCUGUGCUGACCAGAGACAGGGCAAGGAGGAAGGCUCCACCAGCAUUUGGCACAACUGCCCCAGCCUCCAAAUGCAUAAACCAUCUGACUGACACCUAACUGACUGAGGAGAAGGCUCUAGGGUGAGCAGCUCACCAGGAAUAGAAGUGUUUUACCCUUUUGGUAGACCAUAGGUGCUUCCCACUGUUCCUCAGAGUUUACAAGGUCAGGAAAACUUGACAUCCAGAGAGCUGGUAGGGUACCAAGGGAAGGUUUUUACUCCAUAGCCCAGGGGCUUUGGUCACCUCUGAGCUCUUGCUGUGACACCUCACCCAAGGGAGAGCAGUGGGUGAAUCAUGCAAUACUCCUUUGAAACAGAGGCUAGCUUAGGACAGCUUGAGGGUCUAGGACACUGAAAUAUCUUCCUGUCCAAAAUAGUUUGAAUUAGUUGAUCUGCAUGGCAUGCUGCCAGGCUUCAAGGAGAACUAGGGAGGCCUGGCUACUGGUCAGCAGGCUGGACUGGGUGGUAGGAAGUUAUUAAUAGCUGGUCUUCCAUGGAAAGAAUGAGUUUGGCUGAGAUGUGAUGUAAAGCUGCUAACUGGUACAGCAAGCAAAUGCUGAAAGUCUUGUCUAUUAUCACUUGAAUGAGCUGUUACGCCUUAUGGAGAACCUUGAGCCGCCUGGCAUUGGCCUCUCAAUCUGAGCUGUGUGGUUGGGCAGCACAGGUGCAGGUCUGAAGAAAAGAAGCUGUCAGCUCUUGGUCAGCCUCAGGGAGUGGUCGGUGUAUCUUCUCUUCCUCAGCAAGUUUAGGUUCCCUCAAGGUCCCUCAUGAUGCAGUUCUCACCUGUAAGAGUCAGCUCUUUGUUUCUGAAACAACUUAAUUUAAGGACAGAGAAGUAAGAAAGGUGCUUUUCUGCACACAAAUAGAAGUUUUGGAAAGAAAGAUUAUCUCAAAACCUCAGACAAGACCAGUUUGGAAAAAAGGUGGAGGAGACUGGGAAAAAUAAAUGACUAAAAAUUCUCUUCUUGAGUGGAAUGGCAAUGAGGAAUUUCUUAUGGAGGAUUUAGCUGGAUCAAAGGUUACAGUAAAGCACAAGUAAUAGAUUUGCUUUAACUAUACCAGCUGGUCCUCUCCUUUUAAAGGCUUGUGGCAGAGUGGCUUUAAUGAUGUUAUUGUGGGCAUCUGUUGGACUUGUUCUUGAGCACUUGAUUAGAGGUUGUCAUUUUUAAGGGGAAGGCUAGGAAAAUCAAGUGGUGUUGCAUUCAAUGUGAAGCUUGUAUUUCCUUUUGUGUUCUUCAGUUCCCUUCAGGAACUUUUCAGUUUCCUUGCAGGAAACUAAUACAAGGCUCUGGGUUAAUACACAGAGGUCUCCAAGCCAAGCCCAGUUUCAUCCCUUGGAACAACUGGUGCUUCUUAAGGGAGAUGCUAGCUCCCAGAAUAGCUACGUGGAUCAAGUUUGUCAUCUCCCUCAUCCUAAAGCUCACACAUCUGAUUGUCCUGCUUAGAAAGAGGGAGGAUGAACAAGAGUCAAUGGAAUAUCCAUUUCUCAUUAAAAAUAGUUCUUGUCCUGGCUAUUGUAGGGAAACUUUAUUUCCUUGGUGGCUUGUUGCUGAUCUCUGCUCUUGUCUGUUGGAUUUCCACCCUGGAAAACAGGUGUAGAGAUGCUAUAAGUAGCAAGAAGUCUGAUGCAUGCAGUGAGUUCCUUGAAGACUCUAAAUUACAGUUUUCCUUCCUGUGCUACAACCUCAGGUCCCUGACCUGCAACUGCAGCAUAUUUUCUGUGACUAACAGCUGUAAUUCCCUAAUUAUCAUGCUCUAUUCUCCUGCUGUGCUGUAGAUUUUGUUACCAAGGAAGCAAACCAAGUUUCCUCGUCCCUACUCUUGCUCUGUAUGCUCCCAAUUGUUUUAAAUCCACCAUUUGAUGCAGCCCAUAAAGACAAAUGACUAUCUCUUGUUUCAAAUACUCAAAGUUUCCAGAACAUAUUACGUAGCUGCAUGCUGGGGACA